AAACUUUUUUAUUCUGUGCACUGUUUUUUUUAAGGGGCUUUUUGCCCCUGACCUGGGAUGUUCAGCUUUUGCCUUUGGGGAAAAUGUCAGAGUCCCAGUCAUU
rnacentral:rRNA from 1 species